rnacentral:lncRNA from 1 species
UGGGGAGGGCAACUAUUGGGAUAUACCGACCGGUCCCUCUCACGUCGACUCACCGUCGGGCCUGCCUGACUGACGUCCGACUCUACCGACCGACGACUGCCGACACCGUCCGACCGAAGGUAUGUCGGUCGGGCGGAGCCUUUCCGUUCCCGACUGGCCGAACGACGGAGCCGAUCUUCGACUCCCACAAUGCGUCAGACUGACCGUC